UAGACCAUCACGUGUGGCAUUUCUUACUUGUGAAGUAAGUAGCUGAUCUCACAAUCUAAAGUGUGGUGACACUUAAAUGACACGUGGAUAUUUUGUUAUAGAACAAAACAUUGGAGACUCGCUGAGAGAUUCCACAUGGAUAACUAUCUGAGUAUCAGUGGUUAAUCUCUAACGUUCAGUAGUAGAAUUGGUCCUUAGACUUGAGGUCGUCAUGGUACCUUAUAUGAGGACAGUCAUACUUUGGCGGUGUUGGAUGUUGCUCUGCAAAGGAUCGCUAAUACGACAUCGUUCGGGUACGUCAAGAAUCGUAUGAAGGUUGUUAUUGACCAAUAAAGGAUUCGUCACUCUUAGAUAGUAGGAAAUUAUGAUAUGCGUUUCAUUCAAUUAAGAUGAUAACGAAAUCCUAGGCCAAGAUGUACUCAUAAGUCGAAAAUGAGCUUUCGACUUAUAUUGACUUAAUAGUAGAGUGAAAGAUAUGAUCCAUAAUCGAGAAUGACACACUUCCAUAUCUCGUAAUUGAUCGGAUCAUAUUGAUGAAGGGAUUAUAGUUUCACGGUAAACGAACGAGUUUGAUUUUGUCAUACCACGUGACAUUUCCCGUCACAUGUAUUGUCCUGACACAUUACUAGAUGUCAAUCAGGGAUGGCGAGUGUGAAUUGAAGAUAAAUUAAAAGGGUGUUUUAAUUUAUCAAUUUUGAUUAUAUCAAAAUAAUAUUUCACAUCUUUAGGUAUCGUGGUCGGGAACCUAAUGGGUCGCACACAAAAGAGAAUUGGAAGAUUGCAAAUUGUCAAUUGGUUAAUUUAAUAAUCGUUGGAUAAAUUAAUUAAUUGGAUUUGUUAUUUAUAUUCUCGAAUUAAUUAAUUGGAUUAAUUAAUUCACGGAUCGGGUUUAAUUAAUUAAAUUCAUUAAAUAUUGGACCGGACCGAGCCGAGCCCGUUUGGGUUUAUAUAAAUACAUGGCUAGAGUUUGAGGUCCAUAUGAUUUUCAUUAUUCUUGUUGGCACAGGAGAAAACUCUAGAAGCUGCAAUCUUAUUCUCUGUGUAGAUCACCGUUGGAGGCUGGACAAUUAGACAGCUGUGGUGGCGAAUCAAGAUUGCUGGAACGAGAAGAAAAGUAAAAGGUUUGCAGAAUUUUUCAAAGGUACAAUCUUUAUCACGAUUUUUAUCUAAACACAAUGGAAUCCUCGGUAGGAAUCGAAAUAAUUUAUCUGCCGCUGUUGUAGCAGCGCUUUCACGCUGCUGAUGCUGCAGGAGCCGCCGAGCCAGGAGGCUCCUGCUGUGGGCUGUGGCGGCGCCAGAAGAAGUAAAAGAAAAUUUAAAAAAAAAGAAAAAAAAAUUUUGAUUAGGGUUUUUCAGUCGGUUUGGGUGAAAUGGAGGCGGGGGCCUCUGACACAAUUUGUGAAAUUGCAAGCUCCCGUUUGCAAUAUCCUUAUGGGGUCAAUUUGUUAAAUUAUUUAAGUGAGGGACUGUUUUGCAUUAUUUGAUAUUGAAGACCCUUACUUGUAAUUUCACUUCCAUGGUAAAUGUGUAAAUAUUGAAAUAAGGACCUUUUUCAAAAUUUCAGGAAUCGGAGGACUUGUUUGAUAUUUUUAAAAUGGGUCAAAUUUUGAAUUUUUAAAGAUGUAUUGAAUUUUAAAUUUGGAGGUGUUUUACAUUUGAUUUCCAAAUGGGUUUGACCCAUAAUUUAAUUUUGACCCAAAUUAAAAUCUUAUUUAAAAAUUGACGACAUUUUAUAUUUUCGUUAAAAUUGGAUUUUAACUUAAAUAUUAAACUUUGACCCCAAUUGAAUUUUAUUUUAUUUAGGAGUGUUAUCCUAAUUUAAAAUAUUGAUUCAAUUUUAAAUUAGAGUUGGACUCUAAUUUAGGACUUAAUUAAAAUUCGAUUUUAAUUAAUUUUUCACACGAUGAUAUUUUAGAAACUAGAAUUGGAUUCUAAUUUGGCAUUUAAUUAAAAUUUGAUUUUAAUUAAAUUGUUUUGCCUUAAAAUUUUUCUUGGAAUUAGAAUUAGACUCUAAUUUGAUGUUUAAUUAAAAUUUGAUUUUGAUUAAACAUGUUCGCCCUAAAAUCUUAGAUUUAGAGUUUGGACUCUAGUUUUACCAUUUAAUUAAAAUUUGAUUUUAAUUAAAUUCAUUCGCCCUUAAAUAUUGGAAUUAGAGUUAGACUCUAGUUUGUCAUUUAAUUAAAAUUUGAUUUUAAUUAAAUUCAACCGCCUUACAUUUUGAAAUUAGAGUUUGACUCUAAUUUGAUAAUUAAUUAAGAUUUGAUUAAAUAAUCCCGCCAUAUAAUUAUUGAAUUAGAGUUGGACUCUAAUUUGUUAUUUAAUUAAAAUUUGAUUUUAAUUAAAUAUUUUCGCUAAUUAAAUAAUCGAUUAAUAUGAUUAAUUAAUUAUUUAAUUGUUCCGAUCCAUUUGUCUAAAAAAGUUUAGACGACUUAAUUGCUAGAAACUUGAAAUUAAUUUGCAUAUAAUAUUAGAUAUUAUAUAGGUAUACAUUUAUGUGAUGAAUGCAUUAUUAGUGGACAAUUAUGGACUCGACCAUAUGGAUGUGUUGAAUGGUUAAUUUUAUUCUUGUCGUUUUAUGGGCCUGCGAGCUUUUAAUAGUUUUGGGUCUGCGAGCCCGUUAUUAUUGUUAUUAUUUUGGACCUGCGAGCUCUUGAUCAUUUUGGACCUGUGAGUCCGUUAUUAUUAUUGUUGUUAUGGGCCUGUGAGUCCAAUUUCACUUAGGUCUGCGUGCCAACUAGUAUAGGAUACAAAUUGCAACUAGAAUAAUUGAAGAAAUAAGAAAAUGAGGAGACCAUGGAGAUAGCGCAUUGGUACUGAUCAGUGUAAUACCCCCUAGGAAUUGACCAACUAGUUUUUCUUGUGGCGCGGGAAGACUAAAUAGUAAAAUCCAUAAUUGUCCACACUAUUAUAUUAUGUUAUAUAUAUAUUUAUUUGCAUGGUAGAUGUAUAAUAGUAUAUAUAUGAUUGUAUCGUUGUUGAUGAGACUUUUCAAUGCAAAAUCCCUCCAUGAAAUAUUAAGUCACAUUUAUAAUCGCAUUCCAUCAUUAUAGUGAAAAACUUGAGUCUUAAAUCGUCUCAAAUUGUUGAGUACACUCAAAGCUGGUCCAUUAGGGAUAUAUUUGACACUAUGAAAUAUUUGAUAUUUAUGAAUGAUGGGUUUGACUUAACUAAAAUUUAUCUUUUGUUGAGUACACUCAAGGGGAUAAAUUUUAGAGGCAUGUUAAGCUAACACAUAAAAUGUGUGAAGACAAAGAUUUGUCAACUUAAUGAUUUGGGAGUUGUCUGGAGAUACAAUUGAUAAUAGUAUAUACCCAAAUGUUAUAUUAGGGCUUGUUGAGUACACUCAAAGUCUUAAUAUAAUAGAUGGGAUCCCAGUCCACUGGGAGUCAAGCAUGGACUCCAUAAAUUUAUGUAAGAUGGUCAUAAAUUUUAGUUAAACAGUGGGAGCAUAAUUAAUUUAAUAAAAGUCCAUGUUAAAUUAAUUGAUGUAUUUUAUAUAUUAUUCUUUUCCUUUUCGUCAUUUGCAUUUAUAUUGAAUCAUGAGUAACCAUAUGUUUUGAAUGGCAUACUAGAUAUCAACAACCAAACUAGAUUUUCUUAAAUUGACACAGCAAUUUGAGAAUUGUUCUCAUGCAUGAAAAAUUGGUCACGUCCUCGAGUAGCCCUUUCCAGAGACACCUGCUGAUGACUUGAUUAAAGAAGAGGUGGCUACCAAAAUAAACGCAGUGAUGACAACAGUACUGCAACGUAUGUGAUACUUGCAACUAUGUCACUGAAUUACAAAAGUAACUUGAGAUUAUAAAUGUUAACACAUAAUUCUUCGCUACAAAGAGUUGUAUGAUAAUAAUCAUGUGUGGAAGGAUAUGAGACUUCCAAACAACUAUACAGGUGCAAAAUGACGUUGAGAAAUGUCUCAAUUAAAUUCAAUUAUAAACCAUCAACUAAGUAGUGACUUGGUUCUGCUCACAACUAAUUAUGAAUUUAACGUGAAUAAACUCGAAUGCACAAUUAUUGAGUUGCUUAACAUGCUUAAAACUGUUAAGCCCAACAUCAAAGUUAAUAGUGGGCAAGUCAUUGAUUCCUCUAAAGAUAUUAAGAAGAAGUCUAAAGGGGCUUUGUGAAAGCGUCCAAUAUGGUUAAGACAGUCUAAGCGAAAGAUAAUAUCAAAUCUAAUGACCCUUAGUUUCAUUAUAAAAUGAAAGGUCAAUUGAAAGGAAUAUUGCGUGACUUACAUCUACUUCACGAGUUUCUUAGGUAUUUGGUACCAGAUGUAAAUCUCAUAUUUAUACAAAUAUGGAAAAACUAAAAAGAAGUAAACCACUGCGAAAGGGAGAAGUUGACAUACACGUUAGAGAUGAGCAAAGGUUGCUGCAUUGCCUGUAUGAAUAUACUUCUUGCCAUUGCCUUUUGGUUUUAGUAGUAGAAUAAGAGAAAUGUCGCUUUAUACUCACCAUAACUGGAACAUUAAAAUGAAUUUUAUAUUCGGACAUGAACAAUUCUAAUGUUAAGGACAAUUGUUGUUAUUGUUUAUCUUGAUAAAGAUCCCAAUAGCUAUGGUAAAUUACAAAAUGAUGUUUAUAUUCUUUAAUACUAAGGAUUCUAUAAUGAGUAUAGAAAUUAUAAGAUAUAAAUACGAUAAUCUAAUUAUUACCUAAAUCUGGCAUGACAGACUUUGUCAUUUAGAUGAAAUGUAAUUCCAAAGUUACAUAAAGAUGUAUACUUGAGAUUAAUUGAUUUUGACAGGUACAAAUUAUGCAUGUCUAGCACAAUGACCAAAUCUUCUUUUACUUGAAAAAAAAGAAAGGUCAGCAUAAUUACUGAUCUAAUGCAUGGUGAUGCAUAUGGACUUGUGUCAAUUAAUUUCAGGUAAUGUUUCUCUUAUUUCAUCAAUGAUCAUGUAUACUUGAUGAAAACUCAAACGUGAAACUCUUGAAAAGUUCAAGGAAUUCACACUAGAAUUAGAAAAACAAAUAGGUAAAGAUACUCUCACAUUAAGAUUCGAUCAAGUGAGAGUAUCUUAAAGAUAAAAUAUAGAUUAUCUAAGAGAGAAUGAGAUUCUCUUGCAGUGGACUCCUUUAUAUACACUGCAGUAAGGUGGUGUAUCUAAAAAGGGGAAUCGUUAAUUAUUAGAUAUAAUGCGGUUAAUAACAAGCCAUGCAAAUCUCCCAAAAAUUAUUUUGAAGUCGUGCAUUAAUUGCAGUGUGCAACACACUAAAUCAUGUCCCAUCUAAAUUUGUUAACAAGAAUCCAUACGAGUUAUAGAAAGACAAUAGUCCCAAUUUAUCUUAUAUGAAAGUUUGGGACCAUGAUGCUUAUUUGAAGCGUCCUGAAUCAGAUAAGUUUAACACUAAAUCUGAUAAAUACGUAUUUGUGGGGAUAUUCAAAGCAGACGUUUGAAUAUUAAUUCUAUUAUCAUGAACAAAGUCUUCGUCUCACGACAUAUCGUCUUCUUAGAGAAAAUAUUUACUCUAGGAGAGGACGGUAAAAGUAAAAUAGAAUUUGAAAGAGUUCAAGAGUCCACAGAUAUAGUUAACCAAGUAGAUAAAUUCGAAUUUGAUCCCAUAUCUGAUAUGGGACAUACUUUGGAUCAGGAAGUAAAGACUCCUUAGGACAUAACAGCUCUAUAUGAAUCUAGUAGGAUCAUUCGACCUUCAAGAAGGUGUGAAUACACGAUCAUUAAUCAGGUAUUAGUGAUCCAGGAUAAUGAACCUGCUAGUUGCAACAAAAUAAAGUCAAGUGUUGACUUAAAAGAGACAGCAAGAGGUCAUGAUGCUUGAGAUGAACUCGAUGUAUGUGAACAAGGUUUGGACCUUUGUAGAGCCUCUUGAUGGAAUAAAACCCAUGAGGUUUUGUAAAUAGUUUACAAGGGAAAGGUCGAUGUGGAUAUAAAUAUCCAUAUAUACAAAGUAAGGCUAGAAGCAAAGGUUAAGUGUUGACCUUGAUGAAACCUUUCUCCUGUGGUCCUGCUGAAGUCCAUUCGGGUUUUAUUUGCAACAGUUGCAUAUCGUAACUAAAGGUUAAGAUAAGUCUCUAUGGAGCUGAAAUCUUCGAUUUGAUGGAAAAAGUCAAAAUGUUUGAUUUUAUCAAAUUUGAUGACGAAUUGUGUGUUUACAAGAAGAUAGUGGGAGCAUUGUCGUAUUCCUAAUAUUAUAGAAAACAACAUCCCUAUAUUUCAAUCGUUAAAAUAAUGCUUGUUAAAAGAUUUAUUCAUAAACGAUAUGGGAUAAGCAACUAGAUCUAUAGAGGUAGAUAUAGAAGAUUGCUUAACUCAUCCCAAUUUACAUAGAUGAAAUCUUGAGAAGAUUUCAUAUGAAGAAACUGGUUUACUUUUAAGCGGUAUGUUGGAAAGGUUUCAAAUGUGAAACAACCGUUGAUUCAAUAGUAGAAACCUAAUACAUGGUUACUUCAAAAGUAGCAAAUAGUUGCAAUAUGAAUCAUGAUGUUCAUAAAUGAAUUUGGAGUAGUUCCUGAUAUUGUUGAUCACAUACCAUUGUAUUGUGAUAACAAUAGAGCCAUUGCGAAAGUAAAGGAACUAAGGUCUCAUCAAUGAUCCAAACAUGUAUUAAAGCGGUAUAAUCUCAUCAGAGAGAUAAUACAUAGAAAUGACGUAAAGAGAAGAACAACUUCCCACCUUUAACAAUAUUGCAGAUCCACUGACAAAGAGUUGUCGUAGUAUAAACAUAAUCGUCAUAUAAAUUUAUGAUAUUGGAUACAUAAGUUAUUGGAUCUAGUGCAAGUGGGAGUUUGUAAGUAUUAUGCCCUAAGUCCAAUCAACUUUGAAUAUAAAUACUUUUAUAUAUAAUUAAUGCAAUUUAAGGGCAAAUCUAUUAUUUAAUUAAUAGACAAUUAAAUAAAUAAUAGAGUUGUGAUUGUGAGAUACAAAUUACAUCUGAUUGAGUCUUAAAUCAUCCGUGGUCGUAAGUAAUAACGAGAUACGGAUAUCGUUAUUACGGAUAGACCAUCACGUGUGGCAUUUCUUACUUGUGAAGUAAGUAGCUGAUCUCACAAGUUAAAGUGUGGUGACACUUAAAUGAUACGUGGAUGUUUUGCUAUAGAACAAACUAUUGGAGAUCCGUCGAGAGAUUCCACAUGGAUAACUAUCUAAGUGUCAGUGGUUAAUCUCUAACGUUCGGUAGUGGAAUUGGUCCUUAGACUUGAGGUCGUCAUGGUACCUUAUAUGAGGACAGUCAUACUUUGGCGGUGUUGGAUGUUGCUCUGCAAAGGG
rnacentral:lncRNA from 1 species